AAUAGAUACCCGGGUAGUCCAUGCCGUAAACGAUGUCUACUAGCCGUUGGGGCCUUUGAGGCUUUAGUGGCGCAGCUAACGCGAUAAGUAGACCGCCUGGGGAGUACGGUCGCAAGACUAAAAACUCAAAUGAAUUGACGGGGGGCCCGCACAAGCGGUGGAGCAUGUGGUUUAAUUCGAUGCAACGCGAAGAACCUUACCUGGUCUUGACAUAGUAAGAACUUUCCAGAGAUGGAUUGGUGCCUUCGGGAACUUACAUACAGGUGCUGCAUGGCUGUCGUCAGCUCGUGUCGUGAGAUGUUGGGUUAAGUCCCGCAACGAGCGCAACCCUUUUCCUUAUUUGCCAUCGGGUUAAGCCGGGAACUUUAAGGAUACUGCCAGUGACAAACUGGAGGAAGGCGGGGACGACGUCAAGUCAUCAUGGCCCUUACGACCAGGGCUACACACGUGCUACAAUGGUCGGUACAAAGGGUUGCUACUCCGCGAGGAGAUGCUAAUCUCAAAAAGCCGAUCGUAGUCCGGAUUGGAGUCUGCAACUCGACU
rnacentral:rRNA from 1 species